rnacentral:lncRNA from 1 species
GGGGCUUCCAGGUGGUUCUGGUGGGGAAGUCUCUAGGGUACAUGAGACUUAAGUGGCCUCUCGGAAAAGCUAAAGGGCAGAAUGACUAGUAAUGCCCUGCCUUGUGGACAUUUGGUGCCCUUGGUGUCAACAGGGACGGGAGAGCUGUGUUUCUGAGUGUCGUGUGUCCUUUACUUGUGGCCCCGGGAGCGUGAAGGUAUCACUCUGAUUUAGUCAAGAAACAGUAUUGCUCUAGGAAAAGACAAAAUCACAUUCCAGGCAACAUUUUUCAGUCUGCUUAAGCUUGCACUUGAAAUGAGGUUCUCAAGGCACAGGAGGGAAUGCUACAAAAACAGGAAUGUCGAUCUACGCAGGAGCAUUUCCAUAAUCAGGUUACACCGGACGCGCGUGGCGGGCUCACUCCCCGGGUGACAGAGCUCUGCGUGGGGACACCCACUCAAAUGGCAAGGCAUGCCUACUUCCCAGGGAACCUUAACUCCUCGAGCCUCGUUUCCCUAUUUAUGUAUCCAGAGAAGUGACAUUUGAUUAAAACAAAACAAAAAACGCUAUGCCUAAAUAAGUCAGAAAUACCUGUUUUGACAAGCAUAAAACAAGAAUACUAAAUUAAGAGAUCAGUGAUUUUUUUCCCAUUUAAUUGUAAACCAUCUUGUUUUCUUCUAGCUGGCCGUAGAACAGUGAUAUGUCCCUGAUUCCCUGGAGGGCCCCAGAGGUGUGUGGAUGGGCGUGUUUUACCGGUGAACACAGGGUAGCGCUGACCAGCCCUGGGGCCACCACCUGCUGGGGGGCGCGCAGAGGAGGUGGUCCAUUCUGCUGGAGCUCCUGGUUCUCAGCAGGGCGGCCACCUGGAAGCCCCUUACUCUUCCCCAGACUGGGAAGCUGAGCCCCGGGUGCCAAGACAAUACCCCAUGGUCACAGCAUGAGGGACGGCGUGCAGACCGAGGAGCCGGUCCAGCGCUGGAGCCACACACACUCUUCUGUGACACGGGGUGAUGCAAGAGGGUCCAGGCUUCUCACAUCUCAGCCCCGAGAGGGAGCUCCCUCCUCCCCGGUGUGCCCAGGCUGACCUCAGUCACACUCAGAGGAGAUCUGCUUUC